CCCCGGUAAACGGCGGCCGUAACUAUAACGGUCCUAAGGUAGCGAAAUUCCUUGUCGGGUAAGUUCCGACCUGCACGAAUGGCGUAAUGAUGGCCAGGCUGUCUCCACCCGAGACUCAGUGAAAUUGAACUCGCUGUGAAGAUGCAGUGUACCCGCGGCAAGACGGAAAGACCCCGUGAACCUUUACUAUAGCUUGACACUGAACAUUGAGCCUUGAUGUGUAGGAUAGGUGGGAGGCUUAGAAGUGUGGACGCCAGUCUGCAUGGAGCCGACCUUGAAAUACCACCCUUUAAUGUUUGAUGUUCUAACGUUGACCCGUAAUCCGGGUUGCGGACAGUGUCUGGUGGGUAGUUUGACUGGGGCGGUCUCCUCCUAAAGAGUAACGGAGGAGCACGAAGGUUGGCUAAUCCUGGUCGGACAUCAGGAGGUUAGUGCAAUGGCAUAAGCCAGCUUGACUGCGAGCGUGACGGCGCGAGCAGGUGCGAAAGCAGGUCAUAGUGAUCCGGUGGUUCUGAAUGGAAGGGCCAUCGCUCAACGGAUAAAAGGUACUCCGGGGAUAACAGGCUGAUACCGCCCAAGAGUUCAUAUCGACGGCGGUGUUUGGCACCUCGAUGUCGGCUCAUCACAUCCUGGGGCUGAAGUAGGUCCCAAGGGUAUGGCUGUUCGCCAUUUAAAGUGGUACGCGAGCUGGGUUUAGAACGUCGUGAGACAGUUCGGUCCCUAUCUGCCGUGGGCGCUGGAGAACUGAGGGGGGCUGCUCCUAGUACGAGAGGACCGGAGUGGACGCAUCACUGGUGUUCGGGUUGUCAUGCCAAUGGCACUGCCCGGUAGCUAAAUGCGGAAGAGAUAAGUGCUGAAAGCAUCUAAGCACGAAACUUGCC
rnacentral:rRNA from 1 species